GAGAUAUAUGAGGAUACUGAAAGGUUAGAAGAUCUUACCUAUUUUGCCUAUUUGCUGAUUGUGAGCUGUUAGCUUUGAAGAAGCAGCAGACAGUGAAAAUUGGCGAGUCGCGAUGGAUGAAGAGAUCAAAGCCAUAAAGAAGAAUGAUACAUGGGAGCUCGUGACAUUACCAAAAUGGCACAAGGCCAUUGGAGUCAAGUGGGUGUAUAAAGUUAAGAAGAAUUCCAAAGGUGAAGUGGAAAGAUAUAAAGCGAGGCUCGUCGUGAAAGGAUAUAGUCAAAGAGCUGGAAUCGAUUAUGAUGAGGUAUUUGCUCCCGUCGCUCGCUUAGAAACUAUUAGACUAAUACUCUCUCUUGCAGCCCAAAAUAGAUGGAAGAUUUAUCAAAUGGAUGUCAAGUCAGCCUUCUUGAAUGGGUAUAUAGACAAAGAAGUCUAUAUCAAGCAACCAAUGGGCUACGAGGUAAAAGGGCAAGAGAUAAAGUCUUGAAGUUAAAGAAGGCCCUAUACGGACUAAAGCAAGCACCAAGGGCAUGGAAUAGCAGGAUCGAUAAGUACUUGGAGGAGAAUGGUUUCACCAAAUGCCCUCACGAGCAUGCUCUCUACGUUAAAGUCAAUGGAGAGGAUAUAUUAAUUGUGUGCUUGUAUGUAGAUGAUUUGAUCUUCACAGGAAAUAAUCCAAAGAUGAUUGAGGAGUUCAAGAAGGCCAUGUCAAAGGAGUUUGAGAUAACCGACAUUGGGCUGAAGGCGUACUAUCUCGGUGUGGAAGUCAAGCAACUCGAAGAUGGGAUCUUCAUCACACAAGAAGCAUAUGCCAAGGAAAUUCUCAAGAAGUUCAAGAUGGAGGACUGCAAAGCAAUCAACACGCCAGUGGAAUGCGGGAUAAAAUUAUCCAAGAACGAUGGAGGAGAAAAGGUGGACCCGACAUUAUUCAAGAGCCUGGUUGGAAGCUUACGGUACUUAACUUGCACAAGGCCGGACAUUCUUUAUGCGACAGGACUCGUGAGUCGCUAUAUGGAGAAUCCAACCACUACGCAUUCAAGGCAGCAAAGAGAAUCUUCGAUAUCUCAAAGGUACGCUCAACUAUGGCCUAUUCUAUUCAAGUACUGAUGAUUAUAAGCUUGUUGGCUAUAGUGAUAGCGACUGGGCCGGAGACAAUGACGAUCGCAAGAGUACAAGCGGUUUCGUAUUUUUUAUGGGAGACACUGCUUUCACCUGGAUGUCAAAGAAGCAACCCAUAGUCACACUAUCAACAUGUGAAGCUGAAUAUGUGGCUGCCACAUCCAGUGUUUGUCAUGCAGUUUGGCUACGAAGUUUACUGGAAGAGCUUGGGUGGCCACAAAAGGAGCCAACAACGAUUUGUGUGGAUAAUAAGUCAGCAAUCACGCUCUCAAAGAAUCCGGUGUUUCAUAAUCGAAGUAAGCAUAUUGACACCCGCUUCCACUACAUCAGAGAAUGCAUCGCAAAGAAAGAAGUUCAAGUGGAAUACGUGAAAUCACAAGAUCAAGUUGCAGACAUCUUCACAAAGCCACUCAAGUAUGAAGACUUUAUCAAGUUCAGAAGUUUGCUCGGAAUAAACAAAUCAAGUUUAAGGGGGAGUGUUGGAAUAAUAAAUUAUUAAACUUGAUUUGUAGAAGGAAAAAUCUAGAAUAAAGAUAUUUUGUAUAAAUAAAAGAAAAAGAGAGAAUAAUCUAGAAUCUCCUAGCUAGCUAAAGUGCCGUGUGGAAUUAGGAAAUAAUAUUAGAAGAUCAAUCUAGAAGAACUAAUUAAAACCACAAGUUGAAGUCGGUGAUCUAGUAAUCACCGACAUAAUACUUCUAUAAAUAUGUAUUGUGCUCCAUUAGUUGAAGUGAGUAGAAAAAAAAGCAUAAAGUGUUUUAUUUGUUUUAUUCACUUUCUUAUCACUUACACACACACACGUCCACUCACACACUUGCACAAUAUUUCUCCAUAUUUUCUCCCAUCAAUUAAAUAAAAUUCUCCAUUUAUAUAUACUUAUAUUCCAACAAAGAAAUGGUGAAAAAUUGGAGGAUGUUAGAAUUAUGGAGAAAAUAUUGAGCUCACUAACCCCAAAGUUUGAGCACAUUGUGGUGACGAUUGAAGAAAUUAAAAAUUUGGAGGAGUUGACGAUCGAUCUCUUGUUGGGGUCGCUGCAAGCAUAUGAGGAUAAUCAAAAGAAGAAGCAAGAGAUUUCAGAGCAACUUUUAAAGUUGCAAGUAAGCCCGAAAGAGAAAGAAGAAGGUCCGAGCAAUGGCCAUGGACAAUCCGGAAGAGGACGUGGCCAAGGACAAGAUCGAGGAAGAGGCCGAGCACGUGGACGUGGUCGAGGACGAGGAGGCUUUGUCAACAAUGGUGAAAGAAAUGAGUUUACAAGUGGUCGGGGGAGGAGCAACCCGCAGUCGAGGUACGAUAAAUCUUCGAUAAAGUGUUAUAAUUGCCAUAAAUUUGGGCACUAUGCUUCCGAGUGCAGAAGUGAAAAAGUAAGGAUUGAAAAAAGGGCCAAUUAUGCCGAGAACACGAGCGAAGCAAAUGGUAGUGUGCUUCUGGCAUAUAAAGGAGAAGCUGGAAGAGAUGACACGUGGUACCUCGACACCGGUGCAAGCAACCACAUGUGCGGGAAGAGAAACAUGUUCGUGGAGCUUGAUGAGUCGGUAAGUGGAAAUGUCUCCUUUGGUGAUGAAUCUAAAAUCCCAGUUAAAGGAAAAGGGAAAUUUUAAUUCGCUUGAAGAAUGGAAAUCAUGAAUUUAUUUCCAACGUUUAUUACGUGCCCAAUAUGAAAAAUAAUAUCUUGAGUUUGGGACAACUCUUAGAGAAAGGUUAUGAUAUUCACAUGAGAGAUUAUAACCUUUCAAUAAGAGAUGGCAAAAAUAAUCUUAUUGCCAAGGUGCCAAUGUCUAAAAAUAGAAUGUUCUUAUUGAAUAUUCGAAAUGACGUGGCAAAAUGCCUGAAAGCAUGUUACCAAGAUAAGUCUUGGUUGUGGCAUCUUCGGUUUGGGCACUUAAAUUUUGACGGUUUGGAGUUACUGUCAAAAAAAGAGAUGGUCAGAGGCCUACCAUCCAUCAAGCAUCCCGAUCAACUCAGCGAAGGUUGUAUACUCGGGAAGCAGUUCAGAAAGCCAUUCCCAAAGGAGUCAAGCUCAAGAGCUCAAAAGCCACUGGAGUUGAUUCAUGCUGACGUGUGUGGGCCAAUAAAUCCAAGCUCCCUCGGUAAAAAUAAUUAUUUUCUGCUAUUCAUUGAUGAUUUUUCUAGAAAAACGUGGGUAUAUUUCUUGAAGCAGAAAUCAGAAGUAUUUGAUGCAUUCAAGAAAUUCAAAGUUGCCGUCGAGAAGGAGAGCGGAACGCAAAUCAAGGCCCUGAGGUCCGAUCGAGGGGGAGAAUUCACAUCAAGGGAGUUUCUAGAAUUUUGCGAAGCAAAUGGAAUUCGACGGCCCCUGACUGUUCCGAGAUCCCCCCAACAGAACGGAGUGGCGGAAAGAAAAAAUAGGACAAUCAUGGAGAUGGCGAGGAGCAUGCUAAAGACGAAGAAUCUGCCUAAAGAGUUUUGGGCCGAAGCAGUGGCGUGCGCGGUGUACCUAUCCAACCGAUCACCGACAAGGAGCGUGUGGGGAAUGACUCCACAAGAAGCCUGGAGCGGGAGAAAGCCAGGAAUUUCCCACCUAAAGGUAUUUGGAAGCAAAGCCUACGUACAUGUACCAGAUGAGAGAAGGAAGAAGUUCGAUGAUAAAAGUGAAGCAUUCAUCUUUAUCGGGUACGACUCUAACUCUAAAGGCUAUAAGUUAUAUAAUCCAAAUACCAAGAAAACAAUGAUAAGUCGAGACGUGGAGUUCGACGAAGAAGGAGUCUGGGAUUUCAGCUCCAGCGGUGACUUCACCUACAUCCCACAGUUAGAAGAACAAAGAGCAGAAGAGCAAGUUGGAGAAGUCCAACAAGAGCCAGUGACUCCACCAGCUUCACCAGUGCCAGUCACUGAAGACUCGCCACCAUCUUUCUUAAAUGAAAGAGCCACACCACGAGCAAGGAAUUUGGAUGAGAUAUAUGAAGACACUGAAAGGUUAGAAGAUCUCACCUUGUUUUGCCUAUCUGCUGAUUAUGAACCUAAAGCAGCAAAUAGUGAAAAUUGGCGAGUUGCAAUGGACGAAGAGAUUAAAGCUAUAAACAAGAAUGAUACGUGUGAGCUCGUGACACUACCGGAAAGGCACAAGACCAUUGGAGUCAAGUGGGUGAAUAAGGUUAAGAAGAAUUCCAAAGGUGAAGUUGAAAGAUAUAAAGCAAGGCACGUCAUGAAAGGAUUUCGCCAAAUUCAGAAGUUUGCUCGGAAUGAAAAAUCAAGUUUAAGGGGGAGUGUUGGAAUAUAAAAAUAAACUUGAUUUUUUAAGUGAAGAUAUUUGUAUUAGAAAUAUCUAGAAUGAAGAUAUUUGUAUUAGAAAUAUCUAGAAUCAAGAUAUUUUAAGAAGAAAAAGAAAGAAAGAAAAAUAUAGAGAAUUCUAGAAAAAGUGACUAAGUGAAGAUAUUUUGUAAUAGUAAAAUAAGUAUAAAAAU
rnacentral:lncRNA from 1 species